AGCAGGGCACACCACACGUGCUAACCUCAACGUAGGAGGGACCCAGGAGGCACGGCAGGACACUGGAUGAAUGCAGCAGAAUGCCCGGUAAGGGCAGGAAAUGGCCAGUACUUACCCACAGGAAGAAUAAUAAAGCAAUUCUUCUGUUGCAAGGAACUCUGAAGGACCACAACAGAAUACAGAAAUAGAGUUGAGAGGAACAGCAAAAGAGAUCUGAGGCAAGAACUUCAUCACUGCACCAGCGCCUCACACCAAAAAGGUGAUUUUUUUCCCCUUCAGUUCUUGCACUAUGGAAAUCCUAUCCUGAGUUGCAAACCAAUGUUUUAGGGCCCAUUUUAGUGCCCAGCCUUGUACAUGGUAUAAAGUUAUAUAGAUACAUAUAAGCAUAUGGUUCAAGUUCCUGCCUAUGUAACCU